rnacentral:rRNA from 1 species
AGGCUUAACACAUGCAAGUCGAGGGGCAGCAUGGUCUUAGCUUGCUAAGGCUGAUGGCGACCGGCGCACGGGUGAGUAACACGUAUCCAACCUGCCGUCUACUCUUGGCCAGCCUUCUGAAAGGAAGAUUAAUCCAGGAUGGGAUCAUGAGUUCACAUGUCCGCAUGAUUAAAGGUAUUUUCCGGUAGACGAUGGGGAUGCGUUCCAUUAGAUAGUAGGCGGGGUAACGGCCCACCUAGUCAACGAUGGAUAGGGGUUCUGAGAGGAAGGUCCCCCACAUUGGAACUGAGACACGGUCCAAACUCCUACGGGAGGCAGCAGUGAGGAAUAUUGGUCAAUGGGCGAUGGCCUGAACCAGCCAAGUAGCGUGAAGGAUGACUGCCCUAUGGGUUGUAAACUUCUUUUAUAAAGGAAUAAAGUCGGGUAUGCAUACCCGUUUGCAUGUACUUUAUGAAUAAGGAUCGGCUAACUCCGUGCCAGCAGCCGCGGUAAUACGGAGGAUCCGAGCGUUAUCCGGAUUUAUUGGGUUUAAAGGGAGCGUAGAUGGAUGUUUAAGUCAGUUGUGAAAGUUUGCGGCUCAACCGUAAAAUUGCAGUUGAUACUGGAUGUCUUGAGUGCAGUUGAGGCAGGCGGAAUUCGUGGUGUAGCGGUGAAAUGCUUAGAUAUCACGAAGAACUCCGAUUGCGAAGGCAGCCUGCUAAGCUGCAACUGAC